GUCCAACAUUAUACUGCGUAAUGUGGGCCUCUGGGGGAGCGUGUGCGUGUGCGUGUGCGUGUUUGGCAGCGCCGUGCUGAAUUCUAACGAGGCGCGAUGACUCUUAACAGAUUCUAAAACAUCAACAAGAGACGCUUUCUCUCCCGGUGGGAACAAACACGCAGGUGCGUCUCGGCCCACUCGCGGGAACAAAAAGUUGGCCCUGCAGAGUUGGAUUUGCCGUUUUGGGGAGAUCUGCAUUCAGUCUAAGUGACGAGGUGUUUUCAGUGGGCGUCGUUGAAUGUCGAGGGGUCAAGUUCAAAGUUCACCAAGCAACAGCAGCACUUGUGUUUUUUUUAUUCAUGCCGAUUCAGAAACAUUGACAUUCAGCUCAUCUCGCGGCUUGCAGGAAGGGUGCAUUCAACUGAAACGCUGCAAAUAUCCAAAUGUGUGCAAGCGACACAGUGAAGAGAUGCACGGCCAUUAAAACGAAUCUAAUGGCCGCUGGCAAACAAAAAAUGGGAGCUCCGACUUGUUCUCCUUCACACGGAGGAAGACUUUUCAGGCAUAAAUCUUCUGACUGCUGGACGCGCUUGUGUGAGACGCACAUUGGAUGCUGAUUGGCUCCACGUGAGCUGUGACGUCACAGACCCAUCGCGUUGAACUCAGAUUCGCACGUUCUGCACAGCGACGGUGGAACGUCCGCAACAACACGCA
ensembl:lncRNA